AAUUGCUAGUAAUCGCAGAUCAGCAUGCUGCGGUGAAUACGUUCCCGGGCCUUGUACACACCGCCCCGUCACACCAUGGGAGUCGGUAACACCCGAAGUCGGUAGCCUAACCGUAAGGAGGGCGCCGCCGAAGGUGGGAUUGAUGACUGGGGUGAAGUCGUAACAAGGUACC
rnacentral:rRNA from 1 species